rnacentral:lncRNA from 1 species
ACACAAUGGGCUGGAAUGAAGCUACUUGAAGAAGAAAAGCACCAAAACAAGUCGAAACUUGGCGAGACCGGGAAAACUUGGUCUUUCUUAAAAGUCUUUACUCUGUUCUCAUUACACGACAAUGAGCAAAGAGGGACAGCUGUAACAAGCCCAAUUUGCCCGGGCCCAGGACCAAAAGAAACCAAAAUUACAAACUCUCUAAACCCAACAGGCCCAAAUCAGAAAACCUAGCCCAAUACCCAAAAACAGAAAAAAAACAAAACAGAAACCCUAGCCGCCGCACCCUAUGUCUACCACCAUACCUAGGGUCUUCUGACCUCUGCCACUGCCAGUUUGAUGCUGCAGCACCGCCCCCUCCACUUGCACCUGCAAAAGAAGAAACGACAGUAUAGAAAAAUAGAAAAAAAACUCUGUAAAAAUGGC